GACGAACGCUGGCGGCGUGCUUAACACAUGCAAGUCGAACGGAAAGGCCCUGCUUUUGUGGGGUGCUCGUGUGGCGAACGGGUGAGUAACACGUGAGUAACCUGCCCUUGACUUUGGGAUAACUUCAGGAAACUGGGGCUGAUACCGGAUAGGAGCUCCUGCUGCAUGGUGGGGGUUGGAAAGUUUCGGCGGUUGGGGAUGGACUCGCGGCUUAUCAGCUUGUUGGUGGGGUAGUGGCUUACCAAGGCUUUGACGGGUAGCCGGCCUGAGAGGGUGACCGGCCACAUUGGGACUGAGAUACGGCCCAGACUCCUACGGGAGGCAGCAGUGGGGAAUAUUGCACAAUGGGCGGAAGCCUGAUGCAGCAACGCCGCGUGCGGGAUGACGGCCUUCGGGUUGUAAACCGCUUUCGCCUGUGACGAAGCGUGAGUGACGGUAAUGGGUAAAGAAGCACCGGCUAACUACGUG
rnacentral:rRNA from 1 species